rfam:Culex pipiens quinquefasciatus supercont3.466 genomic scaffold, whole genome shotgun sequence.
GGGGCCGUGGCGUAAGGGUAAGCGUGAUUGCCUCUCACUCAGUCAGCCUGGGUUCGAUCCCAGAAGGUCCCG